rnacentral:lncRNA from 1 species
GGACGAUCUUGAUUACAUUCUGAUCCUCCUGUCUCCACCUCCCAAGCCUAUACCACAGGUUGAAAGCUAGUACACUCAGAAACAUGAAUCAAAAUUAAGACCUCACCUGGGAUCUUCAGGACUAAGCAGGGCCACCACACCUGCCUCCUGCCUCCUAUAUAGACAGAGGAAUGUCCUGGGGCCAUCAAUCAGUCCUUUUGUGAUGCCACCUUUUAUUGGUUCACUGCUGUCUUUACAAGGACCAAAGGGCUCCUAGAAAUAACCUUGGGGUAAAUAGGGCUGGGCAAUAUCAGGAAACAACAAGGUAUCCAAGGAGCCAUGAAAUCUGUAAGAGGCCUUGAUCCCAGACCUGAAUUCUGAGGUAGAGCUCUCAGCUGCCCCCUCCAGAACUUGCCUUCGGAUGCAGGUAUGCUGGGAGCAUCAUCUGGGGUAGGGGAUGCAGCUCUGGAUGCAGGCUGCAUCUUUGGUGGGAGCUUGAACUGCAGAUGGAUCUACGAAGUGGGAGGAGGUACUAGAGCUUAUCGCUGGAGCUGAGUCUGUUGUGUCUUCAAAGGCUACAAAUUGAAUUAGGUCUGUGGCUUUUUUUUUUUUUUUAUGGAAAUGUUGCUGCAGUCCAGGCUUGGCUAGCCAGCAUUCUACCCAGAACUUCCCUAAGCUUGAUCAAGACUGCAGAGGAGCUGGGAAGACAUUAGAGGAGCUGGUUUGAGGAAGGGAGCCAACAUCUGGUAGGCCUGAGCACACAGGAUCACCAGAGGCAGGAGCAGUAACAGGGACAUGAUCACUUGUGGUAGUUUGAAUUGAAAUGUGUCCCUAUAAGCUCAGGCUCUGGCACUAUUGGGGAGUGUGCUCUUGUUGGAGAGGUGUGUCUCUAGGGGUGGGUUUUGAGGUUCAGAAGCCUGGCUAGUAUGACGGUCUCUAACCCUAACAUAACCCUAAUUCUAACAUAUGACAGUCUCUUCCUGCUGUCUGUGGAUUCAAAUGUAGAACUAUCAGCUACCUCUUUAACAUCAUGUCUGCCUGCAUGCCACCAUGCUUCCCUUCAUGAUGAUAAUGAACUGAAACUCUGAACUGUAAGCCAGCCCCAAAUAAAUGUUUGUUUGUUUGUUUGUUUGUUUUUAUGAGAGUUGUCAUGGAUACUGGGCAGUGUUGGCAUAUUCUUUUAAUU